GAUUGUUCACAGUUAGUUACAGAUCGAACUCCUUGUUCUACUACUUUUCCUCCCUCCUCACUACUGCACGUGACUAGUCUUUA
rnacentral:sRNA from 1 species